CUUGACAUGCCAGGAACUUGCCAGAGAUGGCUUGGUGCUCGAAAGAGAACCUGGACACAGGUGCUGCAUGGCCGUCGUCAGCUCGUGUCGUGAGAUGUUGGGUUAAGUCCCGCAACGAGCGCAACCCUUAUCAUUAGUUGCUACGCAAGGGCACUCUAAUGAGACUGCCGGUGACAAACCGGAGGAAGGUGGGGAUGACGUCAGGUCAUCAUGGCCCUUAUGGGUAG
rnacentral:rRNA from 1 species